AGGGUGUAAACGCUGCAGACUUGGUGUUGGAGGCCCUUUGGGGGCAUUCAGUGCCGGAGAGAAGUUGUUAAGUCUGCUACUUGGGAGUACGUCCGCAAGGAUGAAACUUAAAGGAAUUGGCGGGGAGCACCGCAACGGGAGGAGCGUGCGGUUUAAUUGGAUUCAACACCGUAAAACUCACCAGGGAAGACUGUUACAUGAAGGCCGAGAUGAAGACUCUGCUAGAUUUUCAGAGAGGUGGCGCAUGGCGUCAGUGACU
rnacentral:rRNA from 1 species